CAGUAGCCGCGGGAAUACGUAGGGUGCGAGCGUUAAUCGGAAUUACUGGGCGUAAAGCGUGCGCAGGCGGUUGUGUAAGACAGGUGUGAGAUCCCCGGGCUUAACCUGGGAACUGCGCUUGUGACUGCACAGCUAGAGUAUGGCAGAGGGGGGUGGAAUUCCACGUGUAGCAGUGAAAUGCGUAGAGAUGUGGAGGAACACCGAUGGCGAAGGCAGCCCCCUGGGCCAAUACUGACGCUCAUGCACGAAAGCGUGGGGAGCAAACAGGAUUAGAUACCCCUGUAGUCCCUGUCUCUUAUAC
rnacentral:rRNA from 1 species